UGGGUCUCUGAUGCAGCACCAGGCA
rnacentral:miRNA from 1 species